GACGAACGCUGGCGGCGCGCCUAACACAUGCAAGUCGAACGGAGCUGAGAGGAGCUUGCUUUUCUUAGCUUAGUGGCGAACGGGUGAGUAACGCGUGAGUAACCUGCCCUGGAGUGGGGGACAACAGUUGGAAACGACUGCUAAUACCGCAUAAGCCCACGGUGCCGCAUGGCACUGCGGGAAAAGGAUUUAUUCGCUCUAGGAUGGACUCGCGUCCAAUUAGCUAGUUGGUGAGGUAACGGCCCACCAAGGCGACGAUUGGUAGCCGGACUGAGAGGUUGAACGGCCACAUUGGGACUGAGACACGGCCCAGACUCCUACGGGAGGCAGCAGUGGGGGAUAUUGCACAAUGGGGGAAACCCUGAUGCAGCGACGCCGCGUGGAGGAAGGAGGUUUUCGGAUUGUAAACUCCUGUCGUUAG
rnacentral:rRNA from 1 species